rnacentral:rRNA from 1 species
UACGGAGGGUGCAAGCGUUGUUCGGAAUCACUGGGCGUAAAGGGCGUGUAGGCGGUCCGCUAAGUCUGAUGUGAAAGCCCGAGGCUUACCCUCGGAAGUGCAUUGGAGACUGGCGGACUGGAGUCCCGGAGAGGAGGGUGGAAUUCCUGGUGUAGCGGUGAAAUGCGUAGAUAUCAGGAGGAACACCGGUGGCGAAGGCGGCCCUCUGGACGGUGACUGACGCUGAGACGCGAAAGCGUGGGGAGCAAACAGGAUUAGAU